rnacentral:lncRNA from 1 species
AGACGGAAGCUUCGUGUGGACGAUCUGCAGAGGCCAGACAUUUGUGUGGCUGUGACGUGAUGAUCAGAACCCCCCGACAGUGAUCAGAUUGCGGUGAUCGACUACCCACAAAAGGUGAUGUGUUCUGAACACAGUAUUGUAAAACGUUUACUGAUUAAAAUUUGAAUUUCAAAUUUAAAUGCAUGCUGUUAUAUCAUAUUUAGAUCCUAGUGUAGGGUUAAUUAGUAUUAAUUAAUGAGAUUAAUUAAUAAUUCCACUGUAAAAUAGUAAUUUUGAAAAAGUUUUAAAAUUAUCAUUUUGCCCCUGCACUA